UUUGCAUAUAGCAACGGUCGAUACAGUCUCAUCCUUAAAACGUGUCUAGUGUGUGAUUGUAAAGAGUAUGACUUUGCAUUUAAUCCGGUUUUGAUUGCGCUUACCAACAGAUCGUCUCUAUUAUUGAACGCUCGAGGAUCAUUAAUGGGCUGUUUCAUCCACUGGGACCUUUUCCUACGCAGCCUAGCAUCAUGCUAUAGGUACAACAUAUUGAAGAGCAUGAUUGUCAAUUCUCUCACACAAAAGGGGUGGUGCCUGCAAUUGAAAUAAUCGCAGGACAUUUCUUCAUUCCAGAAUACAACAAUUGCAUAACUUUCUUGCCCGACUCUCUCUGUUUCUGCAUUACUUUGUUGUCGUCCAUGCCACCCUCCAUUUUGAAGAUGAAGAAAGCAGCCAGUUUUGCAUUCUUCUUGGCAGUGGUGGUUCUUUUUGUUUGCAAAUUACAUGCGACGGAGGCUAUCAAUUGCAGCCCGCUGGAGCUGAGUUCGUGAGUGUUGGCAAUAAUGUUGUCUUUACCACCGUCGGAUGAAGGGCAGGAACGUUGCCUUUGUGAGUAUUAAAGAGAUAAUAUAUUAACUCUCCCAAUGCCAGGAGGGUUGCUAACAUCUGUAGUGUUCCCGCUCCUAUGUGCUAAUCUGAAAACUUCACCUCAAGCGUUAAGAGUGCUACAUUGGAAAAGGAUGAAUGGAUUUGCUGGCUUCGUAUCUCCAUUAAUCAUCUCAUAAAAUGGCUUUGAUUUAUCCUUUUCUUUUAAUACUGUGUGUUGAUAUCUGAAACUUACCUCUUUUAAGAUCUUUUUUCGAAUACGGUUCUCUCUCCAAUUUCCAACUCUAACUAGUCUUGGAAGAAGUACCAGUGUCACUUCUGCAUAGGUCAUGUGACAUUUAAGAGAAUGAGGUUGGAAACUAUA